UGCGUGACAUUCAAUGAGAAAGCGCUUAUUGGUUAGUCUUACUCACGUGGUUGCUCUAGAAGCAGAUUAUUGGCUUACGGGUCGCUCAGACGAAAUAGAAGGGAAAGAGAAGCGUCGCUCGACCAGUGGACGCGUCACAUAAUCUUCGCUGGACGGUUUUAGUUUUGACAUCGAUGUGGCUGCAUCUUUCUUCCGGAGUGGUAAUACCAGUACCACUUUGAGUCGACGACCAUUCGGCUCAAGCUCAUCAACCGGCGCCCGAUCAAGCGCAGUUCCAUCCCAUCCAGAGCCUUUACGAGAAGAUUCUAUUAGAAAUCGGGAGAACCUGGUGGUCUCAAACCGAGAAAUUCGACAGUUGUUCGACACAAUCAAAGAACUGGGGGAUAUAGUAAAGCGGCAAAAAUGCCAAACUAGACAGUUUGAGCGUGGAACUGGAAAACGCUUGUAAAGAAGUGGCUGAGGUGAAGACCGAACUACAGACUGUACGACACAAGCUCGAUCGCCAACCUCAGUCGACCGAGAAGGAGAAUAUCCACCGUGGGCCUGUUCCAAAGCAACUAAAGGGUGAUGUGCACUUGUUGCACAACAAACAAGAAGUUGAACUUUAGUUUUGUGGAAGUGAAGGCAUUGAUACUGCCCACAACAGUGCUGUUCGAGGAUUUCUUUGUAAGGAACUGGAAAAGGAAAACAAUGGCUAUGAAAAGUCAACUAUCAAGUGUGCUGUGUCAAGAUAUUAUGAAACGAAAAGACAACAAUACCUCGACAAUCCACCUGACAGAAGAAAUAAAGCAGAGAAGACUGCUCUGCAAUAAAUUGAUGCAAAUUUCAUGAGUGGCAAGGAGAAUGGUGAGGGCAGUCAAGAGGAUGUGUGGGUUGUGAGGUCACCACUGUGGCGUAGUCCACAGCUAUCUCCUCUCUUAAAGAGACUUCAGGAGAAAAUUGACAAACAGCCAUCUUCCUCCUGAAGCUCACAUCCACAAAAUACAAGAGUAGAAGGAGAGCCAUCCACACACAGUCUACCAACUUCCUCACCUGCAUGGGCACUCCUUCCUGGUGAUAGACAGAGCCCUGAGAGGUCUCCUUCUCAAAAUAGGAUUCCUCCCUCCCCACAGUCCCCACAACAUUGCAGUGGUGAUGAAAGCGAUGGGGAACCCUUGCAUAUGUUGGACACCAGCCCUGUCACAAUCCGGAGGAGGCCAAACAGACGGCUACAGUCACUGUGGGACUAAAUUAAUGCCUAAGUGUUCUUUAUUUACAUAACUUGUAUGUUUUGCCUUCUGUUUUUAAUUCAGUUCAUUUGACAGAAUGGCAAGGUGGUUUAUGGGUAUUAGGGUGAAUGGUUCCUUUUUAACCCUAACUCACGAAAUUUUUUUUUUUUUUUU